rnacentral:rRNA from 1 species
UACAGAGGGUGCAAGCGUUUGUUCGGAAUUACUGGGCGUAAAGCGCGUGUAGGUGGCGAUGUAAGUCGGGGUGUGAAAUCCCUCGGCUCAACCGAGGAAGUGCACUCGAUACUGUGUCGCUUGAGUGUUGGAGGGGAUGGCGGAAUUCCCGGUGUAGAGGUGAAAAUUCGUAGAUAUCGGGAGGAACACCAGUGGCGAAGGCGGCUCGCUGGGCCGGUCCUGACGCUGGAGACGCGAAGGCGUGGGGAGCGAACGGGG